UUUGGAUAACUGUGGUAAUCCUAGAGCUAAUACAUGCAACCAAGUCCCGACCAGUCUGACUGGGAAGGACGCUUUUAUUAGAUCAAGACCAAUCGCCCGGCCCGUCCGGGCGUUGCCUUGGUGACUCUAGGUAACACAUCAGAUCGCAUGGUCUCAGCACCGGCGACUUAUCCUUCAAAUGCCUGACUUAUCAACUGUCGAUGGUAGACUCUAUGUCUAACAUGGUUGUAACGGGUAACGGGGAAUCAGGGUUCGAUUCCGGAGAGGGAGCCUGAGAAACGGCUACCACAUCCAAGGAAGGCAGCAGGCACGCAAAUUACCCACUCCCGGCACGGGGAGGUAGUGACAAAAAAUAACGAUACGGGACUCUUAUGAGGCCCCGUAAUCGGAAUGAGUACACUUUAAAUCCUUUAACAAGGAUCCAUUGAAGGGCAAGUCUGGUGCCAGCAGCCGCGGUAAUUCCAGCUUCAAUAGCGUAUAUUAAAGUUGUUGCGGUUAAAAAGCUCGUAGUUGGUUCUGCGUGCUACGCUGUCGGUUCGCCGCCUGCCGGUGUAACUGGCAUGCCGUGGCAUGUCCUGCCGGUGGCGUGCGGGAGCCUCGUCAGGUGUCGGCCCGGGUUUCAUCGCUCGGUGUCCGGAGGCCGGAGGACCCACCCGUGCGCCUACUCUAUCCUACCUAGGUGCUCUUCACCGAGUGUCGAGGUAGGCCGGUACGUUUACUUUGAACAAAUUAGAGUGCUCAAAGCAGGCUGAAAUCUCUGCCUGAAUAGUGGUGCAUGGAAUAAUAAAACAGGACCUUGGUUCUAUUUUGUUGGUUCUUAGGAACACAAGGUAAUGAUCAAUACGGACAGGCGGGGGCAUUCGUAUUGCGCCGGGAAACCAAAGCUUUUGGGUUCCGGGGGAAGUAUGGUUGCAAAGCUGAAACUUAAAGGAAUUGACGGAAGGGCACCACCAGGAGUGGAGCCUGCGGCUUAAUUUGACUCAACACGGGAAACCUCACCAGGCCAGGACAUUGGAAGGAUUGACAGAUUGAUAGCUCUUUCUUGAUUCAGUGGGUAGUGGUGCAUGGCCGUUCUUAGUUGGUGGAUCGAUUUGUCUGGUUAAUUCCGAUAACGAACGAGACUCUAGCCUAUUAACUAGGCGUUUUCCGGUGUCCCCGCCACCGGCGACAUUCAUUCUUCUUAAGGGGACAGGCGGCUUAUAGCCGCACGAGAUUGAGCAAUAACAGGUCUGUGAUGCCCUUAGAUGUCCUGGGCCGCACGCGCGCUACACUGAAGGAAUCAGCGUGUGCCUCCCUGGCCGAAAGGCCCGGGUAAUCCGCUAAACCUCCUGCGUGCUAGGAAUUGGGGCUUGCAAUUGUUCCCCAUGAACGAGGAAUUCCCAGUAAGCGCGAGUCAUAAGCUCGCGUUGAUUACGUCCCUGCCCUUUGUACACACCGCCCGUCGCUACUACCGAUUGAAUGAUUUAGUGAGGUCUUCGGACUGGCGGUAAUCCCUAUCGACUCGUCGGUAUCGAUGAACGCUGGAAAGAUGACCAAACUUGAUCAUUUAGAGGAAGUAAAAGUCGUAACAAGGUUUCC
rnacentral:rRNA from 1 species